UUUCUAAGCUUGGUAUAUAGAUAUGUGAUCACCAUUGUAUCCACCUGUUCACUAAUUUGGCCUUUCAUUACUACUCUUUUGUGUUCUUAAAAAAGAAGAGAAAAUACCUGUGAAAAUUUUGGAAGACGAGACCUGAGAACUUGGGGUUUCCAUAGAUUUUGCCUUACACUUCUGUUGCAGCUUUUGUACGCAAAAUCUUUAUUUCUGUUGUUGUACAAUCUUUCACUUAGUAGGUAAUGUUUCCAUUAUCAAAUUUGUAACUUUUGUACACAAACUCCUUACUUUCACUAUUGUACAGUGUUUCAACAGAAGAAUGAGUUCCAAUCAAUGCAACAUGCUGAAAUGAGACGGAAUCAGAAUCUGUUCAGAAUUCAAGAGAAAAAAGUGGUUUCCCGCACUGAUCAUACAAUCUCUGGGAAAGUUCACAUUUUAUCCUGUACUGAAAAAUGAAACAUCAUGCCCUCUCUUCCUGCACCAUCCACAUUCCAUAUUAAAGAAGGAAACAAGAAGCAAAAAAAAAAGAUCUACUUCUUCCAACGGUCCAAUAGAUAUUUAGAAGACACAACUGGCUUACAUCAGGCAUUUGAAGACUCAGUAUGUUCUGGUUUGGCUCCAUAACCUCGAUUUUGGACUUAUUGUUUACACAGUUGAAAAAAUCUGUGAUAAUUUUGAGGAAAAUCCUUUUUAUAGCAGGUUCAGGUGCUCAGUCUCAGCAGCGACAGUGAUCUUCGAGUACCUCCAUCUACAUUCGUUCAGUUGAAAAUGCCUCCUCGUAGUGCUCGCAGAAACAACGAACGACCUCAACCCGUUGAUUCUUUAAAUGAGACAGUGACUUAUACCAAAUUUUAGGCAGCUUUUCAGGCGCUUGCCCAGGCAGUUACCGCCAAUGCUCAGGACAAUGUUCAGGAUGUUGUUCUACCUUCGUAAGAAGGUAAUUCUACAACAGCUCAAGUUUGGGAUUUUAUGCAGAUAAAUCCGCCAGAGUUUUAUGGGUCAAGGGCAGGUGAAGACCCCCUGUAUCUUGAUGAGGUGAAAAAGAUCACCUAAAUUAUGCAUGUAACAGAGGAAGAAAGUAUGGAGCUAGCUUCCUAUCGCUUGAAAGAUGUUGCUUAUGAUUAGGUGGAGCUGUGGAGGAAGAGUAAAGGGGAGGAUGCCGCUCCCAUGACUUGGCAGUUGUUCCAGGAUGUGUUCUUAGACUGAUUCUUUCCCCCGGAGCUGAGGGAAGCAAAACUAAAAGAAUUUAUGAACUUGAGACAAGGCUCUAUAACAGUUAAGAAGUAUUGUCUUAAAUUCAACCAGUUGUCUAAGUAUGCUCCCGGUAUGAUGGCUGAUUCCAGGACCAGUAUGAGUAAGUUUUUGACUGGCGCAUCGAGUUAUGUUGUGAAAGAGUGUAGGUCCUCUAUGCUCAAUAGGGACAUGGAUCUUUCUAGAUUAAAGAUACCUGCUCAGUAGAUUGAAGCAGACAAGGUGAAAGAGAGGGAAAGAGUAAGAGGGAAUAAGAGAGUCAGAUCAGAGAAGCAGGGGUAUAGUUAGAGUAGAUUUUCUGCAAGGAUCCUCCCUCAGUUUCAGAGCCGUUCUUUUGUGCCAGCACUGUCAUCAGCUAGUGCUCCCACAUCCAGAGUCAGGCAGGAGCAGGGUAAUAGACCUACUGUGUCCAGAUCUCAGGAUAGUGUGAGUAACAGACCUCGUUCUCCCCCAUGUCCAAAGUACAGUAGGGACCAUCCCGGUGAGUGCUUAGUCGAUCAGAGGGGUUGCUUUGGUUACGGUAAGUUGGGCUACAAAUUUAGGGAUUGCCCAUAUACUAGACAAGGGAGCCGUGAUGUUCGUCCCCAGAGUCAGGAUAUUAGUACUCCAGCCCCUUUGGUUUGUCCUACUCCUCUUCAGGGUGCCUCAUCUAGUACUGCCGGUGGUCAGCGCCAAAAUUGCUUUUAUGCUAUACCACCCCACCAGGAGUAGGAGGAUUCACCAGAUGUUGUUACUUGUACGUUCUAUGUAUUUUAUUUUGAUAUGUAUGUGUUGAUGGACCCUGGGUCAAGUCUUUCUUAUGUGACUUCGUUAGUGGCUGUGAAUUUUGAGAUCAAUUCUGAAAAGAUUCCUGAGCCUUUUAUAGUUUCUACUCCUAUAGGUGAACCUGUUAUUGCUAAGCAAGUUUAUAAGAAGUGUCCUAUCACUGUCCUUCACACAGUAACAUUUGCAGAUUUGAUUGAGCUAGACAUGGUUGAUUUUGGGUAUGGAUUGGCUUCACUCUUGUUAUGCGUCUAUAGACUGUCGUAGCAGUGUAGUCAAGUUUCAGUUUCCCAAUAAAUCAGCCUUUGAGUGGUCCGAAAGUUCUGUAUCUCCAAGGAGUCAUUUCAUAGCCUAUCUUAAAGCUAGGAAAUUGAUAUCCAAGGGUUGCAUCUAUCAUUUGGUUGGAGUUAAAGAUACUAAGUUUGAGACUCCGACCAUUCAGUUGAUCAACAUUGUUAAUGAGUUUUGCGAUGUUUUUCCAGAAGAUCUCCCAGGGGUACCUCCCGAUAGAGAGAUAGAGUUUAGAAUUGAUCUUCUCCCCGACAUGCAGCCUAUUCCUAUUACUCUAUCGUAUGGCCCCCGCAGAACUUAAGGAGUUGAAAGAGCAACUCAAAGAUCUUCUAGAUAAGGGUUUCAUAAGGCCUAGCAUAUCUCCUUGGGGUGCACCCAUUCUG